rnacentral:pre_miRNA from 1 species
UCAUCUGGAGAUCUUGUUAAAAUGCAGGGUUUGAAUUAGUAGGGACCCUGAGAUUCUGCAUUUCUCACAAGCUCCUGGAUGAGGC